rnacentral:rRNA from 1 species
UUUUUGAAUAUAAUUUAAAGUAGGGCCUGCCCMCUGAGUAUUUAAAGGGCCGCAGUAUYUUAACUGUGCAAAGGUAGCAUAAUCAUUAGUUUUUUAAUUGAAAGCUGGAAUGAAUGGUUUGAUGAGAAAAUAGCUGUCUCAAUAUUAAUUAUUUAAAACUUUAUUUUUAAGUUAAAAAGCUUAAAUUUUUAUAAAAGACGAGAAGACCCUAUAGAGUUUAAUUAAUUGAUAAAUUUUUUAUUUUAGAAUUAAUUAUAAAAAAUUUAUUUAUUAAUUUGAUUGGGGUGAUUAAAAAAUUUAGUUAACUUUUUUUAUAUUAUUACAUUAAUUUAUGAAUACUUGAUCCAUAAUAAUGAUUAAAAGAUUAAAUUACCUUAGGGAUAACAGCGUUAUUUUUUUUUAGAGUUCAUAUUAAAAAAAAAGUUUGCGACCUCGAUGUUGGAUUAAAGUUAAUUUUUGGUGCAGAAGCUAAAAAAUUGGGUCUGUUCGACCUUUAAAACUUUACA